UAUUUACUUUAAUCGCCGUCGAAAUCUGAGCGAGAAACGACAACGACACACUUACGCGACUAAAAACGAUUACCGACACUAUUUUUUUUACAUGUUUAUGACCCUAAAAUAGCAAAUUACUACAUUACGCGACGUCUGUAGCGAUAACGGGUCUCGUAGAGGGUCGCGGGCCACUUAAACAUAGCGUUUGGGCUUGUAGGCUUUGGGCCCAAGCCCAAAGCCCACUAACUAAAACCCUAUAUACAUAAUAUGUACACUUAUUAUCUGUUAUCUUGUUAGAAAACCCUAACUUUGUUUUAAAACAAUUCAGCCGCACGAUGACCAGACACACUCCCCUCAAAUACCAGCUCAUCCCCUUCCAUCUUCACCAUUUCAAAAUCACUGGCCCAUUCUAACACUCACCCUGUCCCUAUCGAUCUAUCUCUGCUACACAAAAAUAAAGGUUUACACCUUCAACCUCAGCCAUACCCCUCUCCUACCUUUCUAUGAAGACCGGCCGACCACCGCUAGUGGUGGCGGCGUUUGGCGACUGCAACAGCGACGGGAGACGCCACAGGCGGCGGUGGUCUUUCCCAGUGCCGAUUAACCAACGACAUCACGGCCCCCUCUCUCCGAUAAGCUCCAGCGACAGGACUAGAAUCCGCCGCGGCGGCAGACGAGCGGCGAUGGGCUUGGUCUUGUUGUUUCAGUUCCUGAUUUGGGUUUGUUUCGGGUCUUGCUCGGUUCAGGUUCUUGUUCGGGUCACGUCUCUCCGUCGCCGGCAUCGGUUUGGUUAGAGUUUUGUUUCGACUUCGGUUCGAGUUACGCCGGAUAACCUCCUCCGCUCCCACUGUUUCGGAUAAUCGCUCUCAUUCUCUUGGAUUUUUCCCAAUCUUACUCGUGUGUUACUUACAAGAAAUCGUAAUGCAACCAAUGUUGAUGAUGACGAUGCUAUGAAAUGAAGUAGCAAUGAUGCCUAGA